rnacentral:rRNA from 1 species
CGCCUGUUUAUCAAAAACAUGUCUUUUAGAAAAUAAUUUAAGGUCGGGUCUGCUCCAUGAUAAAAUUUAAAUAGCUGCAGUAUCUUAACUGUACAAAGGUAGCAUAAUCAAUAGUUUUUUAAUUGAAAGCUGGUAUGAACGAUUUGAUAAGGUAAAUAUUGUYUCAAUUUUAAUAAAAUUAUAAUUUUUUUUUUAGUAAAAAUACUAAAUUGAAUUUUAAAGACGAGAAGACCCUAUAGAUUUUUAUAUUUUUUAAUUAAAUUAAUUUAAAUUUAAUUAAUACUUAAAUUAAAAAAUAUUAGGUUGGGGAAAUUAUUAAAUUUAUAAAAUUUUAAUUAUAUUUUAACAAAAAUUAUUGUUUAAUUGAUCUUAAAAAUUUGAGUUAUUAGAAUAAAUUACCUUAGGGAUAACAGCGUAAUUUUUUUGGAAAGAUCCUAUUGAUAAAAAAGUUUGCGACCUCGAUGUUGAAUUAAGAUAAAAUUUUAGAGUAGAAAUUAAAAAUUUUUAGHCUGUUCGACUAUUAAAAUCUUACGUGAUCUGAGUUC